rnacentral:rRNA from 1 species
UACAGAGGUCUCAAGCGUUGUUCGGAUUCAUUGGGCGUAAAGGGUGCGUAGGCGGCGCGGUAAGUCGGGUGUGAAAUCUUGGAGCUUAACUCCGAAACUGCAUUCGAUACUGCCGUGCUUGAGGACUGGAGAGGAGACUGGAAUUUACGGUGUAGCGGUGAAAUGCGUAGAUAUCGUAAGGAAGACCAGUGGCGAAGGCGGGUCUCUGGACAGUUCUGACGCUGAGGCACGAAGGUCAGGGGAGCAAACGGG